AUGCAAGGACGCGGCGAGUUGCUGAAAAGGGACGGCGGCCGCGCGAGGCUUUCUGCUAGAGAUGAGGGCCACCCGGGGAGCUGCAGCCGGCCAAUGCGGUGCUGCAUCCCCCAUGGUUUUUGCUCGAACCGACGGGGUGCAGAUGUUGGAAUCAGCUGUUUGGUGCAUGCUGGAACCGGCGAGUUUUUUGCUGCAUCCGGCGUUGGAUUUUGCUACGACCGGCUGUUAUUUUUGUUCGAACCAGCGAGUGUUCUUUCCUGGGGAUAUGCAAUAGGAUGUUUCUUUUGCUGCAUUCGGCGUUGGAUUUUGCUACCACUGGUGGUAAAUUUUGUUGGAAUCGGCGAGUGA
rnacentral:rRNA from 1 species